rnacentral:rRNA from 1 species
UACGUAGGGUGCGAGCGUUAAUCGGAAUUACUGGGCGUAAAGCGUGCGCAGGCGGUUUUGUAAGCCAGAUGUGAAAUCCCCGGGCUUAACCUGGGAAUGGCAUUUGGGACUGCAAGGCUUGAGUGCGGCAGAGGAGACUGGAAUUCCUGGUGUAGCAGUGAAAUGCGUAGAUAUCGUAAGGAAGGCCAGUGGCGAAGGCGAGUCUCUGGACAGUUACUGACGCUGAGGCACGAAGGCCAGGGGAGCAAACGGG